UACAGGGGGUGCAAACGUUGCUCGGAAUCACUGGGCGUAAAGCGCACGUAGGCGGAUUGUUAAGUCAGGGGUGAAAUCCUGGAGCUCAACUCCAGAACUGCCUUUGAUACUGGCGAUCUCGAGUCCGGGAGAGGUGAGUGGAACUGCGAGUGUAGAGGUGAAAUUCGUAGAUAUUCGCAAGAACACCAGUGGCGAAGGCGGCUCACUGGCCCGGUACUGACGCUGAGGUGCGAAAGCGUGGGGAGCAAACGGG
rnacentral:rRNA from 1 species